UCCCACAACCUCCCAGCCAGCAAGCUUGCUUGCUAGGUAUCCUAGAAACCAUAGUCAACAAAGUCAGUUAAAAAAAACAAAACUCUGCCAGCACAAGAGUUGACAAGGGGGUGAAUCUGCUCUUUCUUAGCUCAGGGCAACAUAAGCAGCUUUGGAAAGAGGCAGCCUUGCCCUCUACAUGCUGGGAAAUUACAUGGAUAAAUGGACCAACAGAAGGUGGGGCCCAUUCCCUCUACAUAAAUAUACACAGACAAAACCCUCACACCACCAUUCAUCCUGCUUCAUCUUCUGAGGAUUUCUGAGUGGAAGAUCUCUGUAAGGAUGUCAUCUAAUAUUAGAAGACAAAAGAAAAAUUGCUGAAAGCCAAAAUCCACUUUAGGACGGGGGAAGAGGCAUAAUAUGGCAGCAUUAAAACAUUUUCUCGCCCUUGCAGAAAAAAAAGGUGGUAAGUAACAAUUGUUUCCUUUUUCCUCACAAGGGAGACAUAGAAUUUGAGGGCUGAACUAAGGGGAAUGCCAUUCAUAUAAUUUGC
rnacentral:lncRNA from 1 species